AAAACAUCGGCACAUGUGUAUCAAGAUACCAUUCUUGAGAAGGUAGUAAAGCCAACAACAGCAUGUUCAAUAAAAAAUAAUGGUCUUUCCAGCCAGACUCGGCGCCGGGUCAUAAAGCUUGGUCUUGGUUGGAAACGAACGUUUCGGACUUCAUCAGUGCUGAAGACUGGCCGUCGUCUAGUCCCGAUCUUAUGAUGAUUAUGAUUCAUGACAGACCUGGAACUUUUGCACAAAAAGUAUCGUGAUAACCGCUGUUCCACGGCAACUGUGGUGACAGUGGCGAAAUAUCUAUAUACAUCUAGUAUGGGGUUUGUUAGGAUAUUUUCGUUACGGAAUUUCUGGAUUCGGUCUCCACGCUCAAGGCCCGCGAUAGAAGCUAUGCAAUAGCUUAAAAAUGAAUAUUAAUUAAAUAUAUUGAAUUGAAAAUAUUAAAAUAUUUAAAGAAAA